AGAGGAUGGGGUACAGGGAGUCCAGGUCUCCUCCACUCUGUCUCCCCAUCUGCAAAGUUAGGGAGCCCGACUUGAAUACCUCCAGGGUCUCUUCCCACUGUCUCCCUAGCCUUCUGCACAUUCUGCACACACAGGCAGGGGGUCCCCAGAGCUGAGUGUGUUUCCUCAUUUGUCUUCCUGCAAGUGCCUGUAGCUACCAGGGGCCCCUUCCCACUAUGGGCAGCCAGGUGCUGUGCUGCGUGGUCCUUUGUCUCCUGGGAGCAGGCACAGUGGGUGGCGGAAUCACUCAGACCCCAAAAUACCUGUCCAGAGAGGAAGGACGAGAUGCGACCCUGCACUGUGAACAGGACUUUGGACAUGACUACAUGUACUGGUACCGACAGGACCCCGGGCAGGGGCUGAGGCUGAUCUACUUCUCCCGAGCAGAAAAAAUUGUUGAGAAGGGAGACCUGGCUGAAGGCUACCAGGCCUCUCGAGAUAAGACGGCAUUCUUCCCUCUCACCAUGCCAUCGACAAGGAAGAACCAGACAGCUGUGUACCUCUGUGCCAGCAGCUUAGACACAGUGGACCCACACAGAUACUGCUGCACUGAGCUGCAGAGGUGGGCAAGAGACAGCGGCCCCUGA